AACGCUAGCUACAGGCUUAACACAUGCAAGUCGAGGGGAAACGAUAGAGAAAGCUUGCUUUUUCUAGGCGUCGACCGGCGCACGGGUGAGUAACGCGUAUCCAACCUGCCCACCACUUGGGGAUAACCUUGCGAAAGUAAGACUAAUACCCAAUGACGUCUCUAGAAGACAUCUGAAAGGGAUUAAAGAUUUAUCGGUGAUGGAUGGGGAUGCGUCUGAUUAGCUUGUUGGCGGGGUAACGGCCCACCAAGGCGACGAUCGGUAGGGGUUCUGAGAGGAAGGUCCCCCACAUUGGAACUGAGACACGGUCCAAACUCCUACGGGAGGCAGCAGUGAGGAAUAUUGGUCAAUGGACGCAAGUCUGAACCAGCCAAGUAGCGUGCAGGAUGACGGCCCUAUGGGUUGUAAACUGCUUUUAUGCGGGGAUAAAGUGUGGGACGUGUCCCAUAUUGUAGGUACCGCAUGAAUAAGGACCGGCUAAUUCCGUGCCAGCAGCCGCGGUAAUACGGAAGGUCCGGGCGUUAUCCGGAUUUAUUGGGUUUAAAGGGAGCGUAGGCCGUCGUUUAAGCGUGUUGUGAAAUGCCGCGGCUCAACCGUGGCACUGCAGCGCGAACUGGAUGACUUGAGUUCGCGGGAGGUAGGCGGAAUUCGUGGUGUAGCGGUGAAAUGCUUAGAUAUCACGAAGAACUCCGAUUG
rnacentral:rRNA from 1 species